GAUGGACAACAGCAUGGAUUCCUUUGAAGAGGACGAGGUCACUGCUAUGGAGGACAUGAGAGAGAUGCUGCGGAUGUUUGAGGAAGAAAGAAGAGAAGACGGACUGAAGAUGCUUGAAUGCUAUGAUGAAGACGGCAAGGAGGAUUCUGAGGACGG